GAUUACCCGCUGAACUUAAGCAUAUCAAUAAGCGGAGGAAAAGAAACUAACAAGGAUUCCCCUAGUAGCGGCGAGCGAAGCGGGAAGAGCUCAAAUUUAUAAUCUGGCACCUUCGGUGUCCGAGUUGUAAUCUCUAGAAGUGUUUUCCGCGUUGGACCGCACACAAGUCUGUUGGAAUACAGCGGCACAGUGGUGAGACCCCCGUUCAUGGUGCGGAUGCGCAAUGCUUUGUGAUACAUUUUCGAAGAGUCGAGUUGUUUGGGAAUGCAGCUCAAAUUGGGUGGUAAAUUCCAUCUAAAGCUAAAUAUUGGCGAGAGACCGAUAGCGAACAAGUACCGUGAGGGAAAGAUGAAAAGCACUUUGGAAAGAGAGUUAACAGUACGUGAAAUUGUUGGAAGGGAAACGCUUGAAGUCAGACUUGCUGUUCGGAGUUCAGCCGCAAGGUGUACUCUCCGAGUUGCAGGCCAGCAUCAGUUUUCUGGGAUGGAAAAUCACGGUUUGAAGGUAGCAGUUUCGGCUGUGUUAUAGCUUUCCGUUGGAUACAUCCUGGGGGACUGAGGAACGCAGUGUGCUUUUAGCGGGGGCUUCGGCCCCUUCACACUUAGGAUGCUGGUGGAAUGGCUUUAAACGACCCGUCUUGAAACACGGACCAAGGAGUCUAACAUGCUUGCGAGUAUUUG
rnacentral:rRNA from 1 species